CAGCCGCCGCGGUAAUACGGAGGGAGCUAGCGUUGUUCGGAAUCACUGGGCGUAAAGCGCACGUAGGCGGACUUUUAAGUCAGGGGUGAAAUCCCAAGGCUCAACCUUGGAACUGCCUUUGAUACUGGAAGUCUUGAGUUCGGGAGAGGUGAGUGGAACUGCGAGUGUAGAGGUGAAAUUCGUAGAUAUUCGCAAGAACACCAGUGGCGAAGGCGGCUCACUGGCCCGAUACUGACGCUGAGGUGCGAAAGCGUGGGGAGCAAACAGGAUUAGAUACCCCGGUAGUCCCUGUCUCUUAUAC
rnacentral:rRNA from 1 species